UGCCACCUGUGCUUUGUGGGGUGGGGUUGAUGCUGAGCAGCAGCACCUGUGGGGCUGCUCUGCUUUUUGAGGCACAGCUGUGGCCCUUUCAGUCAGUGAAAUCAGUGCAGGAGGUGUAAUUGGUGCUGCAAUAGAGGGCCCUGAGCUUUGGGUUUUGCUGGCCUGCUGGCUGCUCCUGAGGCAGCAAGGAGCUCGCUACUGCUGAGCAGGAGACGUGCACUGCUUCCCUGCAGGCUGCACCUGUGAACAUGGGAGUGCAACUCAGUAAGGAGCCCUUCAUUGUGGUUUACAAAAAAACCUCCAAGAGGGUGCAGAAAGAAGUUCCAGAGGCUGCUGCGACACAUCCUUCAAAGUCUGAGGACUUCCAGGAUGCUGCCAAAGAGCCGGCCAAGGGAACCAGUCAGCACUGCCAGGCUUCUCCAGAUGCGAGAACAAGACUGUGAAAGCGAUCAAGAGCAAAUCCUCUGUGCAGGAGGGAUGGGGAGGAAACUGCUUAUAAAAACUGCCCUUCUGUACAGUGCAUCAUGGACUGGUUAAUGGCCAACGGCAGGUAUUCAUGGCUUUAAUUGGAAAUGGCCUUACUCGGAGAUGGACAUCUUUCCCUUGUGCUGGUAUCCCAUGCCUUGAGACACCUACUCCUAGCAGAUGCAUAUCUUAACCAGACCAACUCUGGUCCAUGUAUAUAUGAAAUUGUUACCCUGCUAGAAGCUGUCUGUUAUGAUCUGGAGACAUACUGAGUUUAAAAUGAGUACCUCACGUGCAGUAUUACAUAGCAUCAAUGAGGUUCCUGAAUGCAUUGAGCCCUGUGCUACCAAGACUUGUUCAAGACAGCUAAUUCUACUGGUCUCGCAACUUUAACACAAAUGAAGUUGUUUGAAAGAUGCAGUGUCAGUAUAAUGAAGACAAAUGCAGGAACUGGAGAAGCCUGAGCUCUGUAAGGGGUGUUCUGUAACCUGAGUGUUUAUAACCUGGACGUCAUCCAAUUAUCAUUGAAGUAAUUAUUUUGGUAACGCUCUAACUAGACUUGAGGGAUCCCUUUGGAUUAAGAGUUGUGCUGGGGCAAUAAGUCCUCAUCCUAAAAGCAGAGGUAGUGUAGCUCUCCUGCAGUUACUGUGCUCUGAGGCUGCAGUGACAGAACAAAGUCCUUGGCCAUAACUGUAAUAAGGUGGAAAUGCCUUGCUCUCUAAUUGAGGUUCAGCCUGUUUUGAAUUUCACACUUGAAAAGGAAACUGAGAUGUUUGCAACAUGAUUCUUCAAAGCAUUUCUAAACGUGUGCUCUCUCCCCUCUGAAGUUUCACUUGGGUUGAAAGCAGCUUCAUUAUUUUUUCAUCUUCUCUCACUUAUGAUGCUGUUGUCUCAAGCUGUUUGAUCUAUCUUUCUUUUUGCUAACCCCAUUUCUACUCAGUCCAGUACAGAUUAAGGUGGGGGGAUGUGCUUUAAGGUCUCUGGAGCAAAAAACAUCUUUUUCACAUUGUGUUUAUGGUCUGAAGACAUGGUCACCUUUUACUGCUGCCUUUUUCCUUCAGUCAGUGUAGGCUUCCAAGCAUGUGGUGCUCAAUGUGAGUUAUAGCCACACUCAGCUGUCCUGCAUGCCUGUACGGAAUGCUUCUCUUCUAGAGUGCACUGCUAUAAUGAGGAAUAUAGAUAGCAUAACAAAACCAGGGCAGUUCUCUAGAUGAUAGGAUUUAUUACCUGCUAGCUCAGUCUUAAGUGAGCUCGUUUUGCUUACCUGUGUUGAUAUGAACUACAUUUGAUAUAAAAUGCAGAAUCCUGUUCCCUAUUAUCAUGAAUAGAUAGCUCAAGUGCUAAGUUAAUGACAGGCAGACAGGUCAAGCCCAGGCCAAGGUUAGCAGUGGGACUUGAUGAGCAGCUACAAAGAAAGAAAUAGCUCCAUUUCUUUGGCAGGCUCUGGGAUGCUACGGUAUUAAUUUCAGUACACAUCUACACGCUGAAUGAAGAGGCUGAGAAAUGGUUUGGGCACUGGGAGCUCAUCAUUACACUGCAUCCUCUUCACAAUGCCCACGGGCAACCUGGUGGAUCCCCAUAUAGGGGGAUUCAGCUGCAGUUCACUGGUAGGUGACUGGGACCUGCUUGGGGAUAUCAAAUCCAUCUGUAGCUGUAAGGUGCUGUUGUAGCAGAUCUGCUUUCAGGUGGUAACAAGCCUGUAUUUUACCAGGUCUUGACAGUGGGCAAAGCAGAGUAUAAAUACUUCUCAGCCAGUAAGCUGGGCUGUGCACCUCUUGUUCCCUAUGGCCAGCUGUGGAACAACUUUGGUUUUGUAGCUGUAAGAGCAGAGUGGGCCUGUGAGUGCUCUGACACGUGCAUGCAUGCCUUCAAAGUUGGUCUGUCGAGUCAAAUAAGUAAGCUUUUGCAAGAGAAGUGUAACAGCCUGUCAGAUAGUACGUCUGCAUGCUUUUCUUCUAAUGCUGUAAAUGCAAAAGUACCCACAGAGGCUAACACUAAAUAAGGCUUCUCAUCUGUUUCUUUUCCUUUUCCUGUUCUAAUGUGCUUUGUCAAGAGUCAUAAACCAACGUUAUUCAAAUAAAAUGUUACAAGCACCAAUCUAAGAAUACUUUUAAGUGGUAUUAAAUAACCUUUUGUGUGAUACAGAAGGGAAUGGUGUAAUGGAACUAAUACGGACACGUGAAGUACUGCAUGAAGCUUUGGGGAUGGGGUUUGUAGCUUGUCUUGAUGUAUGUUGAAGUACUGGAGCAGUAAUACUGAACUGCUUUGCCUUGUGCUUAUCUUCUGCUGGAGGAUGUGGAGCUGUUCUCUUUGAUAUGAGUGGUUUAUAUUUCCUGUGGCACCUGCUAAUAAAACAAUGAAGGGGAAAUGUAAACUCCCACUGAUAUAUUGCUGUGAUUAAGGACCUAUCAGAAAGAUCUCAAAGCCUGUUAAAGCAAUCUUGAUCUUACAGGAGGUGAGUUCACAUGCUGUUAUUUACCCUACAAAGGGAAAGUCCAGGCUUUAUCUCAGAAACAUUUGUGCUAUUCAGCCUUGUGUAACAAAACGUAAAUAAACACAAUCUUUCACAUUAAAUCUUCUUCCUCCCUUUCGAAAUCAAUGUCUUGACUGUAACAAUAUAAAAAUCAGAGAUGAGCUGACUGGCUGAAGAGGAGACUACAGAAGCCCAGGAUGCUGUAGGGUGCAAGGAAGUAUGAAAAUGAGCACCAAGGGCCUCGGUGAUAGGCUGCCCUGCCUGAGGAAGAGCAUAGCAAAGGUGUGCUGCAAGACCAAAGACAGCGCUCAGAAGCCUUAAACCUCAUCCUUGACACAGGAACACAAAAUAUGGCAGAAUAUUUCUUUUUUUUCUUUAACAAUAACAGAUGUUUAAAUGUGCUUUGGUGUCUUUGUAUAGACAUGUAUGUUCCACAUAUCCAGAAGUCAGUAAAGAAAUAAAUUACCAUCACGAAACAGGCAGCUAUGUAUUGUUGCCUGCUUACAUGUGUGCUCGUAGGACAUGACCAUUAAAUACAUAACCAUACUUGGUACAUACACACUUGAGUAUUUUUCAAUUAAGCAGAAUACAUAUCCUCUUGAUGCUUCUAUUCAUAAGUAAAGUUUAUUUGCCCUCAUUUCCAAGUGAAAUAUGACUUGAGUGCUUCAGUUCCUUGCCCUAGCUUUGCCAUAACCUAACACUUUAGAUGAGGUGUUGUUUUUGAAUAUAAAGCAUUACCUAGCUUUGGUCACCUAUACCCAUCCUCUGGCAGCUAUACAGUAUUCCCU
ensembl:lncRNA